AACGAACGCUGGCGGCAGGCUUAACACAUGCAAGUCGAGCGCCCAGCAAGGGGAGCGGCAGACGGGUGAGUAACGCGUGGGAAUCUACCGUGCCCUACGGAAUAGCUCCGGGAAACUGGAAUUAAUACCGUAUACGCCCUACGGGGGAAAGAUUUAUCGGGGUAUGAUGAGCCCGCGUUGGAUUAGCUAGUUGGUGGGGUAAAGGCCUACCAAGGCGACGAUCCAUAGCUGGUCUGAGAGGAUGAUCAGCCACAUUGGGACUGAGACACGGCCCAAACUCCUACGGGAGGCAGCAGUGGGGAAUAUUGGACAAUGGGCGCAAGCCUGAUCCAGCCAUGCCGCGUGAGUGAUGAAGGUCUUAGGAUUGUAAAGCUCUUUCACCGGUGAAGAUAAUGACGGUAACCGGAGAAGAAGCCCCGGCUAACUUCGUGCCAGCCGCCGCAGUAACAC
rnacentral:rRNA from 1 species